AAAACAACAAUUUGGUGGAGCUACAGAUACAACAUGAUCUUACUGAAGUUGCAGUUGGUAAUGUGACUACUGUCGGUAUAAUUAAAUAAACAAAAAACCAGCGUUAAUAAGAAAACAAAAUAAAAUAGGUUGUCUAUUCAAAUUGUUAUUGUGUUAUGGCAGUUAGGACAAAUUAUAUGGGGAGAGUGGGGACAACAGUUAAGUGGUUGUGAGUUGGCCAUGUCAGACAUCUCGUUACUACCUCUAAUUAUAAAUUAUUUAUGCAGACAGAUUCACAUAAAUUAAUUAAUCGGUAAAUUACUAGUCACGUAAAGGUCUCUAAACCCUCGUUUGACAUGUUAUUUUGUAGCUUCCAGAUAAUACAAUAUUGGAUGCUCAUACCAUUUAGGUAGUGGCGGUAAGAGUUGACUUGAAAAGGGUUGGUUCUUUUGAGUUAGAUUUCAAUCGAUAACUAAAUUUUUGUUUAGCCAAACAAUAAUGAAAUCAUGUCUCUAGUUUAUUAAGAAUUUUAGAGACUGUCCUGGGAGAUUAGUUGGACUUUUGCUGACAUACCUUAUGGUUAGCAAAAAAAAAAAAAAAAAAAAUUCUCGUGGAGUAUACUACGGUCUACAAUCAUCAGUCUACUCUAUAUGUCACUAGGGUGAGUCCGUAGGGCGAAAAGUUAGAAAAAAAUUAUUUUAUAUGAAUUUACACUAAUUUUAUGAAGCAUUUUUAUAAAAAAAUUGUAGAUGGAAAACGAUAUUAUAAACAAAAAUAAAUAAAUAAAAUUCGGAGAUCAUGUUGUUAUUUUUAAUAAAUAUUUUUGGACUAAAUUAAAAUGACAGUAACUUUCACUAUUCUACGAAGAACAAUCUAAUAUAAUAAGAUUAAUGAUGUCCGCGUAUAAAAAUGCAAUGAUCAUGCCAGAGAAAUAUGUUAAGGAAAAGCUUAUAUAUUAUCUAAGCCAAAGCAACAUUUUGUUAGUGUGAGUAGUUUGGUCUAUGUAUGUUUUAGUUAAAAUGUGAUAGUUUUCUCGUAAUGAAAGUCAUACUUCAACUUCCUUGUCACUCUUUAAAUUGAAUACGGUCUAUCGUUAUUAAAAAAAAUUUAGAAUAUAUUAGAUAGGUUUUAAUUUAGAAGUUAUUAAUACCGUGAAAACUAGUGUUAAAAAUUAACAAUAUAUUUAAAUUAAAUGGUAAUAUUGCAUGGACGUUUUUAUAUAAUCCAUGAUCAUAUGUAAUAAAGAGCUUAUGCUGCACAUACAUGUAAUUAUCUUGCAAAAUAUAUUUUUGCAUUGGUGUAUUAAUACUUUGAAAUAAAACCGUUUACCUUAAAAAGGGAAUCGUUCAAAAUUUUCAAAUAUCAGAGUGUUUGUUUAUUCAAAUAGCUAAGUAUGAGUAAUAUAUAAUAAUAUGUUUGUGCUAUUGUAUGAAAAAAGAAAGAAGUUAGGAGCACUAUUUAUCGUGAAAUCAUGGACUUUAAAAAAUAAAUUGAUGUAAAUGGGUAAAGCAAAUAAUUAUAGGAGCACUAUUUAUCGUAAAAUCAUGGACCUUAAAAAAAUAAAUUGAUGUAAAUAGGUAAAGCAAAUAAUUAUUCCUAUGUUUUCUUUUUGCUAAAACAUUCUUCAUAUGUUAAAUGCUCAGUAUAUGUAUAUCACUUUAGUAAAUUCAAUUUUUCAUUCACUAUAUAAUAUUAUAUAUUUUAUAUGUACGUUCACUAAUAUACUAUAAACCUACUGGUUCAUCUAGUUUUUUUGGUUUUUAUGGGCUAUUUUACACAUUAAAAUAAAUAAAAAUAUUGUAUUGUAUUUUCGACACAUGUAAAUCCAAUUAAAAUCAUCGAACUCGAUUCUAUUGAUUUACAUUAAUUUGUCAUACAGGUAUGAUCGGAUUGAAUAUCAACAAUAUCAUAAGAGCUGUUUUUAUGAUGUAUUCAUAAGACGAAGAACACGACAUUAUUUGUUUACUAAAAUAUAAAAGUAUAUUGUUAAAAAUAUUAUUUUUAAUUUGAUCUAUAGCCCACACAACAAUAAUUCUGCAUGUUUAUGAGUUACACCAAAAGCCCACAUGAUCUCUAACUCCAAAUUAAUGAAACUCAAAAUGCGGAUACGUGUUGGCUUCUCAAGACUCGAAUUAGUGAUGUGUCCGCCUACGUGGACAACCUAGGAGGAACCAAAUCCAACUUUUUAUAUAAAGAAUAGGGCCGGUCCACCCUACGGGCGGGAUAUUAUUUCGAAAAUAGUUGAAAUAGUUAGAGUAAAUAUUUAAUAUAAUUUUUUAUUAACUUAAAAUUUAAAUAUUAGUUUAUCUCUGUAUUUCUUUUUCUUUUUUUGAAGUCUAAAUAUGGCUUUGUUGUGGUUUUAUAAUUCAGAACAUUUUUCACAAUUAUUUAGAAAAUAAAAUGUGUAUUAAUGAUACAGAGAUCUACAAUCAAAUUAAUGGCUCUGCAUAGUUGAUUUUGAGGUUAUUAUAAAAUAAAUUCAAGUUUUAAAUAUAUGCACGACACUUUAAAUUUAAAUAUAUGCAUGAAAAUCUAACUUUAAACAUAUGCAUGAUAAUUUAAAAGUGUAAUAACCGGAUUUUUUAUUAUUUGAUUGAAAAGUGUCAAUUUUAAUUACAUAUAAGAUUAAUUUAAAAAUCUGGACUUCUUUCUUUAUUCUUUAUUUAGCUUAUUUUACAUCAUCAGUUGGAAUUAGAUGAACUCUUCUUUUUGUCAUUUUUCAUACUUAUCAGCUUUAUUUGUUAGCCACAACUAUUUUUCGUAUCCUCUUGUUUUUUUGAACCGAAAGUCCUCUUGUUUUUAAUAGGGGAAUUGGGCUGUAUAAUCUUCAAACAAAUUAUAAUUCAUUCACUAUCUAAAGCCUCUAACUUACCUAUACAACUUGCCUCUUAUAUAUAAUAUUGUCAUAUUGCCCCUCACAUGCAACCGGUGAAACCUGUAAAAAAAAAAUAAAUUGAUUUAAUAAUAAUAAUACUGAAACACAACUCGUGGCCCUUUGAAAAACACACACUCUUUCAUAUGUAUUUAUUUUUGGUGGCUUUGCAAAAGAUGAAAGUCUUCUUCCCAGAUUUAUUCUGGAAUUGAUUUCUUCUCACAAGAAUGACAACCAAUUAUGGUAAAUAAGAGACAAUUGUUAAGGUGUACACGGUGAGUAGACAGACCAACUCUUUCAUUUAUUUUUUUUCUUCUCUUAACUCAUUGAUUUUCAGUUUCACAAUCAUGAUUUUGCUUUCAUACUCUGUUUUCGUUUUUGAAUUCUUGCAAAUGAGAUUGAAAUUAUCGCAUCAUGGUAACACUACAAAAAAAGGGGAACAUUGUGACUAAAUUUUAUGACAAAAAGUUUUGUCACAAUAUUGUGACUAUUUACUUACUAGAUAGUGACUAAAUUUUUUUGUCGCAAAAUCGUAAAUAUUUUGUCACAAUAUUGCGAUGAAUGUAUAAGUAACAAAAAAACGUUACAAAAAGUUACAAAUAUGUGACGAAGUGGUUAGUCACAGAUGAUGUUACGGAAUCGAGACUAAAACUCGUCCCUACUAGAUACAAUUUCGCGACUUCCAUUAUGUCACCCACUGUGACUGAAGUUUGUAAUCAUAUAUCAUCUCAAUUCACUCAAAAUUUAAUCUUAUUCAAACAUUAAUCUUAAAUCUAUAAUCAAAACUCCAAACACCAUACCGGAAACUCCAAACUUUAAGUUAUAAAAAUUAAAUCUUACACAUAAAGUAAUAAAUUAUAAUUACUAUAAACUUAACUAAUAUUUUACACUCAUACAACUUUUUUAAUUUUCAAUUCUAAUUUAAAAACCUUAACCUCGUACUUCUUUUUUUUUUGAAAAAGGGCAUAACCUCGUACUUUAAAGCUAAACCUCAAAUUGUAAUCCCCAAACUCCAAACCCUAAAUAAUAAAAGAUAACCUUCGACACUUUAAAUCAUUGUAGUUAAAAUCAUAAAUAAUAAACAAAACGUAAUCACUAAUUUUUAACAAAAAAUAUAAUCACUAAUUAUAUACAAAUACUUUAAACAUUUACAUAUAAAACUUAAUAAAUUUUAUUUUUUAAAAUAAAUUAAAUUUACAUACACUUUUUAAAAACCAGCAUGUUAAUCUUUUAUAAAUCUUAACACCAAACCCUAAAAACAAACUUCAAAUCAUAUACCCUAGAUAACUCUACUCUUGAACUUAGACUUUUAGUCAUAGAAAUUAAAUCACGAACUCUAAUAACAAACCUUCAACUUUAAACAAAUUCAUGCAACCAUAUACCCUAAACUCUAAAUUAUGUCUUAAUUUUUUUUUAAAUUAUCAUAAAAUUUAAUUCGUAAACCAUUACACCAACAUAUAACCAUUAAAUAUACUUAAACAAAAUUAAUCUAGUUUUAACAAAAAAAAAACAAUUUUAGUUUUCCCACGUUUUGAGAAUAUAGAACUCGUUCUGGCUUCAUUUUUUUUAGGCAUUAAUCUAGUUAUCCCACGUUUUGAGAAUAUACCUUUUUUUUUGUAACUGCGUUUUGAGAAUAUACUUCUAUCUCAUAACCCUAUUUUACUCUUCUGUCUCUUUCUUUUUAAUUUCGUGUAGCCUCCACGUACACUUUUCUCUCUUUCUCCAAACAAAUCAACAAUCCUCUUGAUUCUUUUUUUUUUGUUUCAGUUAUCCAUUUGAUUCUAUCUCUCUCAUUUUCUUAUCCCUUAGAACAUCUCUUUCUUUCACCUUAUCUCUCUGUGAUUUUAAUUUAUAAUGUUUCAGAUUCAGUGUCAUGCUCUUCUCCCUCAUUAAAGGUAGAAACUCACGACCCUACUGCCUCUCGACGACUAUACUGAUCCGUACGUAAUGCAAAUGUUAUUAACAAGUUCAUAUUUCGGAUACAGAUCGAUGUAGCUAGAUAGAGCCAAUACAUCGUCGUAGAUUUGGCGACUACCCUGUUCGAGGCUUUCAUCAGGAAAAUAUGAAAAGCCAGGAGAAUACAAGGACAGCGGGGGUGUAGACAAGGGCAGAAGAAGAAUCUACAAAUGCCGAUUGUUUGCUGUAGUUUGAUAGAGACAAAGGAGACCAGUGUUACCCUAAUUUUCUUUGCUUUGGUUUGUAUUAUAAUUGGUUAUCUAGUACCAACUUAAUUUUUUGUAACCAGUUAACCAAUAUGUGGUUCAGAUAAUCAAUAAAAUAUAUUUUAGUUACAAUUUUCUU